rnacentral:tRNA from 1 species
GCCAGGGUGGCGGAAUUGGUAUACGCGUGCGGUUCAGGGCCGUAUGCUCGCAAGAGCGUGUGGGUUCAAAUCCCACUCCUGGCACCA